rnacentral:rRNA from 1 species
AUUGAACGCUGGCGGCAGGCCUAACACAUGCAAGUCGAACGGUAACAGGAUGAAGCUUGCUUCUUUGCUGACGAGAGGCGGGCGGGUGAGGAAUGUCUGGGGAACUGCCCGUUGGAGGGGGCUAACUACUGGAAACGGUAGCUAAGACAGCAUAACGUCGCAAGACCAAAGAGGGGGAGCUUCUGGCCUCUUGCCAUCGGUUGUGCCCAGAUGGGUUUAGCUGGUAGGUGGGGUAACGGCCCGCCUCGGCGGCGAACCCGAGCUGGUCUGUGAGGGGGCACAGCCACACUGGAACUGGGACACGGUCCAGACGCCUACGGGAGGCAGCAGUGGGGAAUAUUGGGCAAUGGGCGCAAGCCUUAUGCAGCCAUGCCGCGUGUAUGAAGAAGGCCUUCGGUUUGUAAAGUACGUUUAGCGGGUAUGAAGUGAGUAAGGUUAAUACCUAGCCUCUUUGACGUUACCCACAGAAGAAGCACCGGCUAACUCCGUG